CCAUAAAGUGAUGGCUGUGAUGUCGGCUGAGGAGUUAUUGCAAGGAGCUCUCGCUGCUUGUAGCCCUAGAUGCAGAACUGGAGACCGAGCCUCCUUUCCCCAAGCAGGGAAGAAUGUUUUCAUUACUAUGGUAAUUCAGUCUGUCCUGUGAUAGUGAUACUUUAAUUGCUCCUCUGUUUUCCUCAGACAUAAUCCAAUUCCCUUUGGCCUCCUAGUUUAUCCACACAUUAAUUGGGUUAUUGCCUUGGAAAACAGAAGGGCAAAUAUAUCGCUUAAGUUUUAUCACAGACAAUUAAUAAGCAUGACUGAGAUUUUUAAAGUGCCCUAAUGCAAUUAGGUGUCGGGCUCCCAGGAGUUUCAGUGGGAUCUGGGUGCCUCCUUCCAUGACACAAAAUUGGAAAUUCACAUCCCAGGUGCAUAAGGAAAACUGUAUUUCUUUCCCAUGUAUUGAACACUUCAGAGAUUCUCCUUUUCAACCUGAAUUCCUGAUUCUGCAGUCUUUAAUCUUGUAAAUCUGGUUUAUGAUUUAACUUAGCAAAAUUCCUUUUGAUUUUCUUGAUUAAGGAUCGCAGGGUCAAAGCCUUUGAAGUACAACUGAAGGCAUCAAAGCAUAAAGAAGGGGGACUGGGGAACUGGUAAUGGGACAAACAGCUUUUCUCAGUCAGGACUAAAGUCCAUGUUGGAAGUGACUCCACGCUUGCUCAGCCUUGUGGCUGUGGGACAAGAGACCAUGCCUGGAGAUCUACUGGGGGGCUGAGUGACAGCCUUGUUCAGCAAACCCCAAAAGCCCCGAAGCUGUGCCAUGUCCCAUAUGCUGUCCGCUGGAGCAACAAGGAACAAAUCACCACCACUGCUGCAGAGCCUUCGUAAAGGGAAUGCGUGUGUUGAACUAAGCCCUCUGUUGUUAUUUAUUUGGGGUGUGAAUCAACCAGCACAAAAGCCAAUAGAGCGUGAUCAAAUGAUGCAUACUAGCGAUAAGAAUAUAUUAAGUCACGCAAUAUCUCUUCCAUACCAGUAGAAAUAUUGCAACCAUGCCCUACCCAUGUUGUGUCUGUGUGGCAGCAACAAUGAAUUUUCUUUGAGCUAGCAAGGCAGAAACAAGAGCUGCCGAAGCUCCACGCGCCUUGUACUCGCUCUUCCUAUAAAACUUGCAGUGAAUAAAACUGACAGGGAUCACUUUGCUUUAAGUGGUUUUCAGAUAAAAACGCUUUCCACCCAACCUUACGUACUCCAGGUAUUAUAAUGGCUAGAGAAAAGGAUACGUUUCAUGGAGCAUUUGGGGAGUUGCUAAAAUUGAAGCUGAGAGCUGGGGCCGGGUACUCCUGCAGCAUCGCUUGGGCAGGGAGUGAAGGAAGACGCAGGGCUGAGCUGGGUCCGUGGGCACGACUUUGGUGAAUGCCGGGCAAGAUGUGUGUAAAUGCACUGCUAGAUUACUGUGAGAGUUUCCCUUGACCUGUAUUUACCACGUUGUACGUAGUAAACCUUUUUUGGGGGAGAAGCAAGUCCCUCACACUAAAGGUUCAGGAACGUGCCAGGACGGCGUGCUGCCCUGCGCCCAUCCCAUGGAGGGUCUUCACUUCUCAUCCCAACGAGGCUGGCGUUGGCUGCUGUAGGAUAUGGGUUUGGUUAAACCAUGAAAACCCAAACUAAAGAAAGAGUUGGGUUUAGUCCAAAAUUAUUUUCUUUAUUGGAACCUGUCUCAUGUCAAGUAAUUUAUGGGUUUCAAAUCAGUACCGAGUAUGUGAAUCUGGGCUUUUCUUGAAGUACCAUGUUACAAACCUUGAUGGAUGGAGAAACAGUGAGCUUACCGGUCCACUUGGCUGCUUCAUGGAGCCGGGCAAAGCAUUCGCUUUGGUCUCUGACUCUUCCAUGGGAAUGCAAGUUGCUGUGACCAUCAUAAAUAUCAUACUGAAAUCUACAGACAUGCUUGGUGUGUUGUCUGCAGUUCUUCCACUUCCAGGAAACACCUUUAAAUUAAAGAGAAAAACUCUGUGUAAUUAAACAAAGCAAAAUGCUGUGGUGGGGGAUGUGGCAUCCAGCUGUGACCGUGCUAAAUACUGAUGUUUCCCUUCUCCCAGAACAAAUUAAAGGAGUCACAGUCUUGUUGCAGCUCAGCGAGGGGUUUCCCAAGAUCACUUUACCGCUUCACCAUCACCACUGCUGGCUGCGUUCAGCUUGUACAGAGGGAAGUUCAGCUGCCUGGGCUGUACUCGUGGAGCACCUGAACCAGCUUGGGAGCACCUGAACCAGCAAGGAGCUGGAAUGGAGCCGUGCCAGUGUGUCUGGGAGCUCGGGCUGAGCCCUUCCAGGGCAUCGCUCUUCCUGCUGGAGGCCUGACGGUGCUUGUGCCGCUACUCAGCUGCCUUCCGAAGCCACCAGUUUGUAGGACCGAGCGGGAUUUCGUAGGUUUUUGUGGUCCGUAGUUGUGAUGUUCGUGUGGGGCGUCCAAUGUAAAAGCAGGCAAGGAACAGAAUCAUCCACUCGAGGAUCUCAGCGCUUUGGAGUCUGCCUACAUGUUGUGAAGAGCAAAGAGCCGCCGUCACUGCCUCUCUUCGGCCUCCUGCAGGUCCCUUUAGGUCUGUGACUAUUUUGGCCUCUGCGCCCAUGCACUUUUCCCCCUUGGACUGCUGAUGGCAGAAGAAGAAGGGUAACUUUCCUUUCGGCUCCUGAGCAAGCAGCAGGGCUUAUUGCCGAUGGUGGCACCGAGCAGCACACGAGGUGCACCCCGGCUGCUUCAGGGCUGCUUCUUAUCUCCCCUUCCAGCUCCGUACGGCCGCUUUACGGACAGCCGAAGGGAACACGAAAUGCUUCAUCUGCAGCAGUCCUGAGGCAGCGGGACGUCGAGUGGCUCGAGGUUACAGGGGUGAUAGAGUGGCCGAGGGCGAUCGGGGUGUGAGUCCCAGCGGGGUCUGAGCGGUGCCGCCAGCGCUGCUGCUGCUCGCCUGGGAGCAGCGCCGGCAGCGACGGCCGCCGUUCGCUGACAUCCUGCCAGCAUCUGCUGCUGGAAAACACGUCUCGUGUCCAGCCCGCUUGACCCCCUGUCGGAGUAACUUGUUUUGCCAUUUGUCACUGCCAAAUGUUUCUUUAUUCCGCCUCAGUCACUUGGUUUGCCACUCAUUUGACUCCCUGCAUAAUUAACUUUGCCAGCCAAUUGACUCGCUGUGUAAUUAUCUUUGCCAGUCACUUUGGUCUCGGCGUAUUAAUCACGGUGUCUAACGGGCCUCGGGGCAGGCUGCAGCACCGGGAUGGCAGCAGGUGCCGGCCCUGGCGCCCGCGGGUGCUGCCGGGCUUGGGGGGAAGAGCCCCAGGGCUGCCCAUGUGGCCGGGGCAGCUGCGGGGCCGUGCCGCCACGUGCUGCUUCUCCUCCCUGACCCGAAUUUAACUCCACUUCCCAGCAGUGCCUCCCUCCGGCCCUGCCCCCCCUUGUUUAAUUGCUCUUGUUUCAUUAUCGUGUCCGUCCGCCUUUGUCAGCUCCUCUGAUAACGCUCCACGUGCGCUCCACCGCGCUCCCUCUGCGGACCGAGCGCAGCCCACCUGCAAGGCGUCCACAAAUUCUUUGUUCGACUUCAACCGAGGGGCUGUUUGUGCAGGAUGCCUCAGAAAAAUCGUCUGACUUAGAGUGACAAGUGUGAAGAGCAGUUGCAGACAGUUUAUACAUCCUCCUCAUGGAAAAUAAACCCGUUAGUGUACGCCAUAUGCUACAACGAAGUGGCUCGUGGCCACGCAGCUGAAACGCCCGAGCCUUUCCUUGACUCUUUGUCUGCUCGUCUAUUUAUCUUCCGAGCAGGAGCCCCGACCAGCUGACACUUCUCCUUCUGUCCUGUUUGCCAAAUAGCUGUGGACUUUUUAAAUAACGUAGACAAAAGGGCUGAAUGUUAUCAGGAAUAAAUAACGUAAUGCCCAGAUUUAUCAUUUAAUCGCAGAAUAAUGUACUUGGAAAAUGAGUUUGCCUGCCCACCAUUCAGAGUGGUUUGUUUUCCUCCUUUGGCACACUUUGCCUUUAAAAUCUUCCUCGUCUGUGCUUUGUUCUGCUGCUUCUGCCCAACUUCAGCCCUAGCCCCUUUAUCGCUUAAUGAAAUUUUGCACAACUUCGUUCCCUGUUGGAUACACUUCAGCUCUAAAAAUACAAUCCAGCACCAAAACUAUGGAGACUUCCAAUCUAAUUUUCCCUGGUAGUGUUUUCUAGUUUGACUGGACAGAUACAACCUAUUGCUAGGAUUUUGGCCUCUCUGUAUCCUUUUAUAUUGACUGGUUAUUUCAUAGUCCAGUUACCCUCGUUGCUUAGAGGACCUAUAACAAACUCUUCUAAAGAGCUGUUUAACACCUCCCACUGCUCGAUAUUUUCCAUGUGAAUGUAACCAACAAUGUCUUAUUUAUCCAAAGUGUCAAGGAAGAUAAAUCCCCAGGCGUAUCAGUUAUAAUGACAUGAGUCUAUCCUGUGCAAUGGAGCGUGUUAUUUCACCAAAUUUUGGCGGAGGAAGCCCCACGACAGGAGCCUGGCAGCUUGUGUGGUUCGGAUGGCACCGGUGCCAGCCUGCAUGGAUGGGGCUGUGCUGCGAUGCUCAGCACAGGCUUGCCCCCAGCUCGACCAUGGGUCGACGUGGCACGGCGCUGGGAAUGACCGGUGUGAGUCUUUUGUUCGUGCGGAGAGGAGGCAAGUGUUCCCCCGCCUCCCAGCUCGUCUUUUGGUCUCCAGCUUUUACGUUCUCUCAUGUGUUCCUUGGAGAGCCUGAAUUAUUGUUGGUAGUGGUUUUGUUUUGCAAGAGUCCGAGCUCUUUGGCUGACUAACGUAGACAAAUCAUCUGUCCUGGCUUGGGUUUCCCAUAACUUCCGCAUAACAAAAGGAGAAGGAGUGAUCCCAUCUCAGCUGUCCUGCGCUCUCACGCCUGCACUUCGCUCUGGGGCGAGAUAAGGUUGCUCUGCUGGGAGGAGAUCUGAAGUGCACAAUCUGGAGUUUUUCUUCAGAUAUUUAAUAACUUUUUCUUCAGAAAAAGGAGUUCGUGUGUGAAGUACAACUGCUGGUGUGCUGGGUUUUGUUGUUUUUGCUGAAGUGUCUCUGCUCGGCCUCUCCCAGCAGCUCUGAGCUGCAGCAAACCCACUCGGCAGGGCAGCGAGGGCUGGUUCUGGCUGGUGGGGGCCGUGGGGCUGCUGAAACGCCAUUUCUGCACAGGAAGUGACAGGUCUGGGCUGGAUUCCUCGGCCUGACAUUUAAGAGCAAGUAUCCGUGGUGGUUUGGCUGGGGUUGUUGUUUUGGACAAGGCUCAGGUCAGUGGGGAUGUGCUAACGCAGCCUGGUGUGCAGCCUGCGCUCUCGGGGAGCAUCUGGGGAGAAGGGGACAGCUUUGCAUUUUUCCCAGGUCAGUUCCUGCCUUUUUGGACAAAAAGACUCUAUGCACGGGGAACUUUGGCAGAGAGGAGAAAGAAACACAGUCCUCGCAAAGAGCUCUAGCUAAAGAUUAACCUUGCUGACUAAUUGAAUGCUGGCAAUGAAAGAUGUUAAAACAAAUACACUAGAGAAAUGGUCUGGGUUUUUUUUCUUCUCUCCAUCUGCUGAUGGAAGGCUGUCUUGCCACCUGUCUGGGACAGCAUCUUUGGAUAUUAAAUAAACCCGGUCUCCUUCUGUGAUACAGUACAGAGAAGUUAAUUCGGCUCUAUUAGAGAAAUCUGCAACGUAAAGCAAGCCAGUAACAGCGCUGAGUGUCCUUCAAGUAUUUCACACCCACCCAGUACACGGAGAUAACAAUGUUUACUAUCGCUUGUAAGUGCAGCUCUGUGGAUGACCAAACCAGAAAGUAAUGAAAUGCAGCUGUCUGCAGUUCUGUUUUCUCCUGUAUUUGUUCAUCUUUCUGUAAAAGAGCCUAAGGUCUGCGAUCCCCUCCUGUGGGAAAAGCAGGAGCAGGUUCCCUGCCUGGGGAGCUCUGGGGGCACGGAGAGCUGCUGCCAGCAGAUUUCAGCCUCUGCGAAGGAGUAGGUUGGUUGGGGGAUCCUAGUUUAGCCUCUGUACUGUUGUCUGAACCUCUGAAACAUCCCUCUAGGAAAAAAUGUUACCCUAAGUGGUCCCACACUCCAAACUCGGUGCAAGAUCCCUCGAGCAGAGCUGAUGUGCAGUGAUGAUGGAUUCCCUGAAACAUGGGAGGAAAAAGAGGCAACGGAGGAGGAAGGGGGACAGGGAUGCUGAUAGAAAUUGCUGGCCUUUUCAGACCUCUCUCUAUUAUUGCAAAGAUGAGCUUGCUAUAAACUCCUCAAUAGACAGCCAGCAGCUGAGAUGCGAGAGAAUGGGGCCUAAGACAGUUUUCUAUUAUCUGGGAGAUUUCUGUCUUAAUAGAAGCUUUCAGAGGCAGCACAAGAGUUGAGCUAUAAAAUUAUGCCCCCGUAGGAACAGUGUGUUCUGAUAGAAAAGGCAAAUAAAUUGUUGAUAUUGGACACAUGCAGCAUUGCUCUGCUGGUUCUGAAGUCGCACAGACUACACUGCAGAUAGCAAGCCUAAAUGUCUGCUGUGACAAAACUCCGAAUCGCGGUCUGUUUUCACUAAGAAAAUACUUUGUCCCUGUGGGGGGAGACCUGUUCAAGGUGACUGCUCUGCCCAUCCUGCAGGGAGUUUUCUUCUCCUCUGUACCACUGAGCAGCAGCCCUUUCUACUCUUGCACACCCAUUUUUCUUGUAAUUUUUCUUUUGACAGUAUCUAUUAUCUCAACCCGUAAGUGUGAAAUUAAUGUUUACAUAAUUCGAACCAGUUAAAGCUAAUUAAAGCAAACUGUCGCCUUCCACUUUGGGCUGCAAUGGAGAACAGCCCGUGGCCAGCACACCUGCGUCCACCCACCUGCUGUCACACAGCAGCAUUAAAUGCCACCAAAGCAUAACGCCAGGUUAGCUGAGGCUCCUCAGUGCCCUGGGCCCUGUAAUUUCAGUUGUCUGGGCUGAACUCUGCAUUCAGAGUGGUUUUUUAGGCCUGAGGUCUAUGACAUAGAUCCUGCACUACUUUAUUUACCUUACUACUUUCUUUACUCACCACUUCUGGGUGGUGCCUCCUUCAGGGAUGCCAGCCACAGCUUCCAUUAUUGGCUGCACCGUUGAUCAUAAUUCUGCUUUAUUUCCUUUCCUGCCAAUGGCAAUCACAUCGGAGCAAUGGAUUAUUUACCUCCUUUCAGUUUAAAUAUGAUCUAUAUAUUUCAGCCCUGCUUAAUAGCUCUCACAUUAACGGUGUGUUUCUGUUUGAGGAUUUUAAUUGAAUGUAUGUUCCAAUAAUUCCUACAACAAUAUUUAUUUUUCUGCCAAAAAAAGGUAAUUCAAUAAAGAGCCUGGCUUCACACUUUAUGGCUUUCUAAAGAGAAAGAAUCUAAUGAACAAUUUUUACUGUUACGCUUUUCUCCCUCUGACUUUUUUUUUUUUAAAGAAAAAUCUGCAAUUAAGGAAGUGUAAUUACUUUUCACCUUGUCUUCUGUUUGCUUUUUGCAUUCCACUUUUCCCGUGCUUGGAUAUGAAUCAUGCUUUACCUCACGACGGGAGAGCCAGGAGCCAGCAUGGGUGUGCUGCUUGUUCUGUGUCUGGUCGGUAUUUUUGGGAGACAUUCGGCUGCUGUAAAUCAGCAAAGGAGUCAAUGAAACCGAGUCGGUUGAAACAAGUGGUGGAUGUGACCCUUGGUCGUCUGUAAGGGAAGGUCCUUGGCCCUACCCCCUUUAAAAAAAUCUGACUUAAAACAAAAAAAAAAAACAAGACUGUCAGUCAAACAUACUAUUUCUUCUCUUGGCGAGGGUUUGCUCUUUGAGGCUUUUUUCCUCCUCGUAGGAAUGCAGGUGAUAGAAUUCAGAUAAAAACCCGAUAGCUAGGAAAGACCCUUCAGCAAAAUAUUUGUCCAGUAGUGUUACAACUUGCCCCUGGAUAAUGAGUUAGAUCACCUUUAUCAUUUUCUUGCAACUCUCACACAAUUAAGCAGCCAACUCCGGCAUUCACCGAAACUUUCUGAUGAUUAUCAGCCUAAAUCUGCUCCCACUGACGAUAAAUUUUACACUGGUGGAGGAGUGGGCUUUGGCCUGUCUCUGGGAGGUUGCCUGCCUACUUUCGGUGCUCCUUUUGAAACCUCCUGCCCUAUCAAUGGAGCAACAACUUUGUAGGCUCAGCUGAGCUUUCCCUUGAACCUGCUCUCUAAUUAACCACUGCUUUAAGUUCUUAUCAGCAGAUUAGCUUGCUGCAGAAACAUCCAGCAUUUCCAUAGCUUCUCAAGUCACAUAGGAACGCGGCUUCUGUCAUCUUGCCACAACCUUGGUGUUGCUCAUCAUGUCAGCUGAAGUCUUAGAAGUUUUCCAGACCUUUUAAUCUUUGCUUCUCGCUUAAUGCUGUUCCUUUCAAAUAGAUGUCAUUCCACCCACAGUUUGCCCCGUGGGGAUCUAAAGCAAGCUGGGUUGAGCAAAGCCCCAUUUCACACACCAAGGAGAGCACGAGAAAGAUAAGGGUCUAAAUAUAAGCUUCUGUUUAGGAGGGCAAUAAAGCCUGCACUUAAUCCAUUCCUGUUGUAAUAAUUGGUGUUACGAGAGCUAGAGAAACUCCAGCCUAUUUGUACUCGAUGUAGUACAAAUAUGUUACGAAAAAGAAUUGUUGUGUCCUGAAAGACUGCAUAGCAAAGGAAGAAUAAAGUCAGCAGGGAGAGCCGAGCAGCAGCCGGGAGCACGGGAAACAUGACAAAACUUUUAUCUACAGAGGAGCUCACUGGCCAAAACAAAUUACCUGCUGAACAGUGCUGUGAUUUCUGUGGGCACUGUGGCAUAUCCUCAGCCCAGAGCACAUGUUGAAGUCUAAUUGAAGAAAUUAAAGUUCAGUGUGUUUCAGUGCUCUGCUGAAUCAGGUCCGUAGUGCUGCCACCAGCCAGUUCCACACUGGAUGGAGAUGAGCUAACGUGGCUGAUACCAUGAAGUUCCUUAGCGGCUCCCAAAUUGGGUACGUUGUGUCCUGCCAGAAGAACUGAAGCCCCUUUCUGUACUCUGCUUUUCAGCUCCGAUUAAACCAUCUCAACAUACAUUCCCGAGGCCACU